CCAAACAAAAAAAAAAAAAAAAAAAAAAAAAAAAAAAAAAAAAAAAAA
rnacentral:ribozyme from 13 species